AAUUGUUCUGAUUUGCUUCCGCAAUGCAAUUUUGCUGGUUUGGUACAGUUUCUGAAAUCUCUCUCUAAGCAUAUAGCUUCUAGAUAUCUUUGCGUCGAUGAUGCUGUUGUGUCAUUUGGAGUUUUUUCGGACUGUGAGUGUGCCUGUAGACAGAUGGUGAUUUGGUUAGAAAACGUUCAACAGAAUCUUGAACUUUGGUGCUCACGUUGUUGACUUUGGUGCUUUACUUAUAGUAACCAUGGUUUGGUAUGUGGUUUACUAUGGUCGGAUCCUACUGGAGACGUCAAAGCCUGGGGCAUGAAUGAUUGUGGUGAAUCAUAGACUUUUGGAGCUGACAAAGUCGCAGAGUUUUUUGAAAAAAAUGAUAUGGACCUUAUCUGCCGUGCCCACCAGGAUUUAACUUGAGUUAUAUUUGUCAUUGAGUUUAUUCUGAAAACUGUUCAACCUUAAGGUGAGUAUCUUGACUAUCUAUAUUUAGACCAUCAUUAUUGGUGAUUAUAUUGAUUUUUAUGUUAAGAAUGACUCUUAUAUAAGAGCCAAAACUAUCCCUAAGAGAUGGACGUGUGUCAAUUUUUAAGUGGGUGAACUAUUUAUCAGAAGAAAAAAAUAAACUUUCGUGUUCUCUUCUCACUUCCUCUCAAACUUUUUGUCGACUUUCUCUCUUUCUAUCAACGAGAGCCGAUGGCGAUACCAUCGUCAAGUAAAGUACAAAGCUUUUCGAUCUUAUUCGUAUCCUUUACCGGCGAGGAUUGUCUUUUUCUCUUCCUGAAUUACACUCUCUUUUUUUAAAGGAUCCAUCUUUGAUUUGGGUUUCGUUUUUUCUUUUCUUUUUUGGUUUUAAGAUUCGAACAACAUUCAAUAGAAAGAACUUGUUGUCACCCCCAUCGAGUUGUUU